CCUACGGGAGGCAGCAGUGGGGAAUAUUGGGCAAUGGGCGCAAGCCUGACGCAGCAACGCCGCGUGUAGGAAGAAGGCUUUCGGGUUGUAAACUUCUUUUCUGGGGGACGAAGGAGGUGACGGUACCUAAGGAAUAAGCCACGGCUAACUCCGUGCCAGCAGCCGCGGUAAUACGUAGGUGGCAAGCGUUAACCGGAGUUACUGGGCGUAAAGGGCGGGUAGGCGGGGAGUCAAGUCAGAUGUGAAAACCCAGGGCUCAACCCUGAGACUGCAUUCGAAACUGUCAUGCUUGAGUGCUGUAGAGGGAAGCAGAAUUCCAGGUGUAGCGGUGAAAUGCGUAGAGAUAUGGAGGAAUACCAGUGGCGAAGGCGG
rnacentral:rRNA from 1 species